UCCGCUUUACAGCGGCAGUUUGUUCCGAGUCCCCGACUUUACUCGCUGGUAACAGAACAUGAGGGUUGCGCUCGUUGCGGGACUUAACCCAACAUCUCACGACACGAGCUGACGACAGCCAUGCAGCACCUCUGUGGCGGCCCCCGAAGGGGAAAACCUGUUUCCAGGGCGGUCCACCACAGUUCAAGCCCAGGUAAGGUUCUUCGCGUUGCAUCGAAUUAAGCCACAUGCUCCACCGCUUGUGCGGGCCCCCGCCAAUUCCAUUGAGUUUUAAUCUUGCGAUCGUAGUUCCCAGGCGGUUCACUUAAUGCGUUAGCUGCGGCACCGAGGCAAAGCCCCAACACCUAGUGAACAUCGUUUAUGGCCAAGACUAC
rnacentral:misc_RNA from 1 species